rfam:Oryzias latipes DNA, chromosome1, strain: Hd-rR.
CUCGACCACGGGUAUUCUUGGGUUGAUAAUACAGAUAUGGAUGUUAUUGCUUGAGAAUACGCGUAGUCGAG